AGCAACCUCAAACAAAAUUUGAUUUGAAUUACUAAUUUAAAACUUACCUUGAUUGUUGAUUAAUUACGAGUAUUGUUUGGAAAAGUUUUGGUGCUUGAAAUGUGAACACGAUUUUAUUUACACAUUGAAGACUUGAUGGCUUUCUGCGUCGAUGCGUUAAAUUUUUCGAAUUGUUGCUAUGCAUGCAUAAAUCUUGGAUAUUUAUUGCUUGGAUGUGAAUUUAUAGUUUUUUGAGUUCAAAAACUGCAAUUUUGUCUAUCCUGCUGUGGAUACGCGUUUCCAAAAAGGUGUUCGAGGAAGAGUGUCAUAAAUUUUUUUAAUAAAUCUUCAUAGAAAUUGCUUUUUCAUCUUUUUUAAUUUGUAUAAUAAAACCAUUUUC